rnacentral:rRNA from 1 species
UACGUAGGGGGCAAGCGUUGUCCGGAAUUAUUGGGCGUAAAGAGCUCGUAGGCGGCUCAGCAAGUCGGCUGUGAAAUCCCGAGGCUCAACCUCGGAACUGCAGUCGAUACUGCUGUGGCUAGAGUCUGGUAGAGGAGAAUGGAAUUCCCGGUGUAGCGGUGAAAUGCGCAGAUAUCGGGAGGAACACCAGUAGCGAAGGCGGUUCUCUGGGCCAGUACUGACGGUGAGGAGCGAAAGCGUGGGUAGCAAACAGGAUUAGA